rnacentral:rRNA from 1 species
AUGAACGCUGGCGGCGUGCCUCAUACAUGCAAGUCGAGCGAACAGACGAGGAGCUUGCUCCUCUGACGUUAGCGGCGGACAGGUGAGUAACACGUGGAUAACCUACCUAUAAGACUGGGAUAACUUCGGGAAACCGGAGCUAAUACCGGAUAACAUGUUGAACCGCAUGGUUCAACAGUGAAAGACGGUCUUGCUGUCACUUAUAGAUGGAUCCGCGCCGCAUUAGCUAGUUGGUAAGGUAACGGCUUACCAAGGCAACGAUGCGUAGCCGACCUGAGAGGGUGAUCGGCCACACUGGAACUGAGACACGGUCCAGACUCCUACGGGAGGCAGCAGUAGGGAAUCUUCCGCAAUGGGCGAAAGCCUGACGGAGCAACGCCGCGUGAGUGAUGAAGGUCUUCGGAUCGUAAAACUCUGUUAUUAGGGAAGAACAAAUGUGUAAGUAACUAUGCACGUCUUGACGGUACCUAAUCAGAAAGCCACGGCUAACUACGUG